rnacentral:tRNA from 1 species
UGAUAGCUCAGUUGGUAGAGCAGAGGACUGAAAAUCCUCGUGUCGGUGGUUCGAUUCCACCUCA